rnacentral:rRNA from 1 species
UGGGGAAUAUUGCACAAUGGGCGAAAGCCUGAUGCAGCGACGCCGCGUGAGCGAAGAAGUAUUUCGGUAUGUAAAGCUCUAUCAGCAGGGAAGAUAAUGACGGUACCUGACUAAGAAGCACCGGCUAAAUACGUGCCAGCAGCCGCGGUAAUACGUAUGGUGCAAGCGUUAUCCGGAUUUACUGGGUGUAAAGGGAGCGCAGGCGGUGCGGCAAGUCUGAUGUGAAAGCCCGGGGCUCAACCCCGGUACUGCAUUGGAAACUGUCGUACUAGAGUGUCGGAGGGGUAAGCGGAAUUCCUAGUGUAGCGGUGAAAUGCGUAGAUAUUAGGAGGAACACCAGUGGCGAAGGCGGCUUACUGGACGAUAACUGACGCUGAGGCUCGAAAGCGUGGGGAGCAAA